AAGCAAAUAAAUAUUAUGGAGAAGCCAUUCCCACUUCACUACCUUGGACUCCAGGAGGAAAAAAUGAAAGCAAUUGUGACUACAUAAGCUCCGAUGAAUCAAAUCUGACAAUGGUCAGCAACGGACACCUGUGUCAGGAAGGCAUUUCAGAAUAUCAAUCAGUUCUCAGAAGUUAAGUGACUUUUAUAAAAGAGUUGUAUUAUUAUGCAGAUAGGACUCUUUUUAUUUGAUAAGAGUUCACCUAUGGAAGAGGAACUGUGGGGUCAAGAGGACACUGAAAAGUUCUCAAAAGUGAAAUUCUUCAUAUUGGAGGAUAGAGUCUAAAUUUAAAGCAGAUGAAUAUUCAAACGAUUUGGCUGGAGAAGACUCCACAUGACAGAAGGAAGGGAGAGGAUCACUUUCAUGGAAGCUCUGCCUGCCUCAGAAUAUUCUACCAAUCGCCGUGCAGCUCUGGAGUCAGCUGUUGGAGAAGCUGGGUUCUAUGCAGGCAGAUGAGUGUCACAGCUGUAACUGAGGCACAGAGCAGUACACAGUGUGGAGCCGAUUUCCGCGAUGGCGAGAGGGGGCAUUGGAGGUGACAACAAUAACAAGACCGUCCUUCGGACAAGUUUUAGCGCUGAAUGUCUUCAGGAAAAUGGGUUCCAUGAGAAGUGACAUCCUCCUCGAAUCAAAAGAUUCUCAGGAUGAUGGAGUGAGUGUUGGAGUAGGUUGCCAGCUGUAGUUACUCCACUCGGCGCAGAAUGGCUGCGGGGAAAUAGAAUCAGACAUGCCCAAAGAAUCUGCUCAGGGUGAAACAAAUACCUUUGAGGUUUAAAUAAGAAAGGAAGGAGAGGCUGUUUCUACAGGUGUCAUAGAAAAAUCAAUACUGAGCCACGGAUUAUUGGAUCCCAUAGAACCAUCGAGACUUGGCAGUGAAAUUCUUCCAAAGGCAGACGGUGUUCCUAGGUUUGGAAAUAUAAAUCCCAUGGGAAGUCAGCUGAAGAACAUUUUAUGCAUCACUCAUCCUGUUGUGAGCCCUGUGCUGUUCCCUCUCUCUACAAGACUGGCUGAAACAACAAGAGUUGUUUACAUUUUGUACUGAUCACCUAGUUAAUACUCUGACUCUGAUUAAUACCAAAGACAGUGUUUAUAAAAGAGAUUCUCUAUUAGAAGGAUGCUCCUGCAUUAUUAAUAAAAUCACAGGGAAAAUGCAACAUUUUGGAUGUCACAUCUGAUAAGUUGGCAGUUAAAGAACAGAAACACAGCAAUAAGACUGAGUGGCUACAUUUUCCCAGUGCCACCAACUGGGAGUUAAGCUGACUAACAUUUUGAAAGCCCAGCCCAUUUCAUUCACAGCAGGAUGGCAGUGGGUGACUGAUCGUACCCGCCAGCUGGCUAAUGUCAUAAUUAACAAAGUUGCUACUACAUCUGCAAAGUUUAAUCGAAAAAUUUGCCAGUGAUAUGAUGGCAUUGUCUCAGAGAUCACAAGGGACAUGGAGUUGACUUUUGCUCAAGGUGGAACGACAGAGCUGUGUAGGCAAGAUGAGAAAUUACGAACUUGUUCAGCCAAAGGAGGCUAAUAAUGAAGGGGCCGGGAAGGAGGCCAGUGCUACCAGGGUUAUCUCACAACCUCAGAUGCUGGAUAAGUCGAAGGAGCAGAAUCGCUUUGGGAUGACAUUCAGAAAGGCUGGAGUGAUUACUUGGAAGAGAAAAGCCUACCUAUUCUUUCCAAGGUGCAGGAAUAUUCCCUUGACCUGCUCAUCCAAUGGUCCAGUAAUGAAUUACUAGAGACCUGCCUUAGACAAAGAAUGCACUUGCAGCCCCACCACACCUAAAGCUACGCUUUGAAGGAUCUGCCAAGCUCACUUUUAAUCAUGAGAAAGAAAUUACCCACACGGAGUCAGCAGAAAAUGAGAAAGUAGAGCUCGUGCUGUGAAUAAUUCCAGCAAGUGCCAAGGGGCUAGUUGAGGAAUGGCUUCAUGAGAUGUUAACCUAAAACACCACCUUGGAUCUAAGCUGCACCUUUGAGAAAGAAAAGACUCCUUCAAGAAUGUCUAGUUGUACCUCCUUUCCAUAUUCGGCCUAAAUGCCUAGGUUGGGUCAAUAGUUUAAUUUUUGUAUUGAACUGUUUAAUGUUGACUAUGGACCUAUAUUCACUUUUACUGUUUCUGUAUGUUUAUUUUUGCUUGAAUUGUUUUAAUAUUAUUUGC